AAGUCGUAACAAGGUUUCCGUAGGUGAACCUGCGGAAGGAUCAUUAACACGUAUCCAAACGUUUAAAAAAAAAAGAAAACCCCCCUGUGAACAUUUGCUUGCUCUUGCAGCCCGCCUGGCUAGAAAAUCCCUGGUAAAUCAUCGCUGAACUAGUUUGAUUCAGGGACCGUCUGGUUGGGUGAGAGCCAUAGCUGCAAUCGAGAGAUCGUGGCAUAACCAAGCCUGCUCCGUAAAGUCCCCUGGAGAAACCCUUCUGGAUGAUGGACGGCCACCACGGCCGGUCGCUGCUGCUUGUGGGCGUUCGUGCCCCCCAGGAUUACCCCGCUACCAGUCGAAACGACCAACCUGCGCAACCAUUACGUGUUGAGCCCGUGGGCGUCGUAAACCGAAAUACUUGAACAACUGUUAACAAUGGAUAUCUUGGUUCUC
rnacentral:misc_RNA from 1 species